ensembl:misc_RNA 7SK 7SK RNA
GAGUGUUGUCAAAUUGACAACCAAAUUUCAGCACCACAGGAUGGCCAGACAAGUGUCCUCCUCUUUCACUGCUCAUGUGAGUUCCCCCCAGAGCUGCAUGUUCUGUGGAAGACAAUGAUCUUCCCAAUAGAGGAAGACCAUAUGGUCAGGGGAAUCCAAGUAGCUGUGCAUCCUUCCUAGAGCCUCCAAAAUAGCUCUCGGGGUUCAUUAGUGGGGGAAUGUAAGAGUGUUGAACUCCUAAGACUUCCCACACAUCCAAAUGAGGCACUGUGUGUGACAGUAUGACUUCCUCC